UGGCGGCGCAGGGCGGGGGUCGGUUGUGAAGAGGAACUCCAGUUAGAAAGAUGUAGAUCAAUGAGGAUAAGUGCCAAAUACAGGGGGAGAGGGAGUCAUUUUGUCAGGUAAACCUAACUGAAAAUGUGGAUGUGAGAGACUGUUACUUCGGCCAUGUGGGUUUUCUGUAGGAAUUUCACACAAUUUAAUUCUGAGGGGCUGGACAUACUAAAAAACAAAGGCAAAAUGGACAUUGAACAGUAAAUUGAAGGAACAGCACACCAUAGGUUUCUACUCAAAGGCAAUUUGGGGUCCUCUAUUCAGCAUGUUGUGGCACCGUCAGAAUACUGUGGUGUUUAAGGUGAGGAGGGGCCUUCAAGAUUUGAAGUUUUUACAAAAGAGGAUGAUGUGAAAGGAAAAUUACAUGAAACACUAGUGAACAGGGUCCUUUUCUGGUGCUGCAGUUACCUCACAGCAAACUAAGCAAGCAAUGCUGGAAGAUGCAUACAUGAAUAAAUUGUGUACUUCAGCCUUGACAUUUUCCAUUGUUUGCCAGCAGCUUUGUAUUUCACAAAAUUCUGU
rnacentral:lncRNA from 1 species